CGGCUCUGGUGAGGUAACGGCUCAGCUGGUCUGAAUGGAUGACCGACCUGAUGGGGUGAUCGGUCCGGCUGGGACUGAAAGUCCCACGGGCCACAACCUGGGGAGGAGGCAGCAUGGGGGAAUCUUCGGCAAGCUUGGAAUGCCGUCUGACCGAGCAAGGCCGGAAUUCUGAGUGAAGAAUGUUUUCGGAAUCGUAAUAACUCUGUUGUUAGAGAAGAACAAGGACGUUUGUAACUGAACGUCCCCUGACGGUAUCUAACCAGAAAGCCACGGCUAACUACGUGCCAGCAGCCGCGGUAAUACGUAGGUGGCAAGCGUUGUCCGGAUUUAUUGGGCGUAAAGCGAGCGCAUGCGGUUUCUUAAGUCUGAUGUGAAAGCCUCCCGGCUCAACAGGGAGGGUCAUUGGAAACUGGGAGACUUGAGUGCUCAACAUGAGAGUGGAAUUCCAUGUGUAGCGGUGAAAUGCGUAGAUAUAUGGAGGAACACGUGGCCUUGGCCAAAGCAGCUCUCUGGUCUGUAACUGACGCUGAGGCUCGAAAGCGUGGGGAGCAUACAGGAUUAGAUACCCUGGUAGUCCGCGCCGUAAACGAUGACUGCUAGUGUUGGAGGGUUUCCGCCCGUUUGUGCUGCAACACGCAGUAAACACUCCCCCAGGGGAGUACCACCUGCAAUGUUAGUUACUCAACGAAUUGACCGGCGCCCGCACAUCCAUGGAGCAUGUGGUUCCAUUCCUAGCUGGACGAAGCAGCGUACCACUUUUCGACAUCCUGUUUCAUAUCUCUCCAGGUACAGCUUUGCUUUCGGGGGAAAAACUAAGAGGAGCUGCAUGCGUGUCUUCAUCUAAUAUCCUGAGAUGUUUUCUAU
rnacentral:rRNA from 1 species